CCUACGGGAGGCUGCAGUGGGGGAUAUUGCACAAUGGGGGGAACCCUGAUGCAGCGACGCCGCGUGGGUGAAGGAGCGUUUCGGCGCGUAAAGCCCUAUCAGCAGGGAAGAAAAUGACGGUACCUGAGUAAGAAGCCCCGGCUAACUACGUGCCAGCAGCCGCGGUAAUACGUAGGGGGCAAGCGUUAUCCGGAUUUACUGGGCGUAAAGGGAGCGUAGACGGCAGUGUAAGUCUGGAGUGAAAGGCGGGGGCUCAACCCCCGGACUGCUCUUGAAACUGUACGGCUGGAGUGCAGGAGAGGUAAGUGGAAUUCCUAGUGUAGCGGUGAAAUGCGUAGAUAUUGGGAGGAACACCGGUGGCGAAGGUGGAUGACUGGACGGCAACUGACGGUGAGGCGCGAAAGCGUGGGGAGCAAACAGGAUUAGAUACCCGAGUAGUC
rnacentral:rRNA from 1 species